rnacentral:tRNA from 1 species
UCAUAGCUCAGUAGGUAGAGCAAAGGACUGAAAAUCCUUGUGUCGCUGGUUCGAUUCCGGCUGAG